UGAAGAUUAUGCUAGCUUUAGUGUACUAAUAAUCUUAAUUUUAAUAAUGACAGGCGAGUAUUUCCCCCCCCCCCCGCUUCGCUGCCCACCCUUUCUAUUCGUUUGCUUUGCAGAUAUCAGGGGCUAAGGCUCUCACAUUAGUGCUUAUAUGAUAUGUUCGUACUUCCAUUAAUAUGGAAUCCUCAUUAGAGUUCUCAUUACAAUUACUCAGUUAUCAGAUUAUAGUUACUAUAUUCUCCAAUGGGAUGUUAG